ACGUAUUAUUAUAAGAAAUAAUGAACAUUUUCAUAAACAAUGAUGGCAAUUCAAUACCAGUGUAUCUAUAGAUGGAUGAUACUUUUGUCUUGCAUUUAUGGCUUUUGCGAAGCGGAACACACUGUUAUAGGGCAUGUUGACUCGACAAUCAUAUUAAACUGCGCAUUAGAUGGAACCAUUACAUGGUACAGCCCUGCCAAAAAUCCUCCGCCACCUGAAGCUGUUUAUUUCUGGAAGAACCAAUCAAAUGCUCCCGAUAUUCCGGAUAACUUUAGACCAAGAUUGUCAGUGGUAGGAGAUUUUAAUCAUGGGAGAUACAACCUUAAAAUCCAGAAACUACAGGUUACAGACCAAGGACUGUACAUGUGCGAACUUAAAGGUUCAGUCGACAAAUUCAGGUUGAAAGUAAUAG